rnacentral:rRNA from 1 species
UGCGCUAAUACCGCAUAUUCUGUGAGCAGGAAAGCAGGGGACCGCAAGGCCUUGCGCUCUUUGAGCGGCCGAUGUCAGAUUAGCUAGUUGGUGAGGUAACGGCUUACCAAGGCGACGAUCUGUAGCGGGUCUGAGAGGAUGAUCCGCCACACUGGAACUGAGACACGGUCCAGACUCCUACGGGAGGCAGCAGUGGGGAAUUUUGGACAAUGGGGGCAACCCUGAUCCAGCCAUGCCGCGUGAGUGAAGAAGGCCUUCGGGUUGUAAAGCUCUUUCGGCCGGGAAGAAAUCGCAUGGGCCAAUACCCUGUGUGGAUGACGGCACCGGAAUAAGAAGCACCGGCUAACUACGUGCCAGCAGCCGCGGUAAUACGUAGGGUGCGAGCGUUAAUCGGAAUUACUGGGCGUAAAGCGUGCGCAGGCGGUUUUGUAAGACAGGCGUGAAAUCCCCGGGCUCAACCUGGGAACUGCGUUUGUGACUGCAAGGCUAGAGUACGGCAGAGGGGGGUGGAAUUCCACGUGUAGCAGUGAAAUGCGUAGAGAUGUGGAGGAACACCAAUGGCGAAGGCAGCCCCCUGGGUCGAUACUGACGCUCAUGCACGAAAGCGUGGGUAGCAAACAGGAUUAGAUACCCUGGUAGUCCACGCCCUAAACUAUGUCAACUAGGUGUUGGGUGGGUAAAACCAUUUAGUACCGUAGCUAACGCGUGAAGUUGACCGCCUGGGGAGUACGGCCGCAAGGUUAAAACUCAAAGGAAUUGACGGGGACCCGCACAAGCGGUGGAUGAUGUGGAUUAAUUCGAUGCAACGCGAAAAACCUUACCUACCCUUGACAUGCCAGGAACUUGCCAGAGAUGGCUUGGUGCCCGAAAGGGAGCCUGGACACAGGUGCUGCAUGGCUGUCGUCAGCUCGUGUCGUGAGAUGUUGGGUUAAGUCCCGCAACGAGCGCAACCCUUGUCGUUAAUUGCCAUCAUUUAGUUGGGCACUUUAGCGAGACUGCCGGUGACAAACCGGAGGAAGGUGGGGAUGACGUCAAGUCCUCAUGGCCCUUAUGGGUAGGGCUUCACACGUCAUACAAUGGUCGGUACAGAGGGUCGCCAAGCCGCGAGGUGGAGCCAAUCCCAGAAAGCCGAUCGUAGUCCGGAUUGCAGGCUGCAACUCGCCUGCAUGAAGUCGGAAUCGCUAGUAAUCGUGGAUCAGCAUGUCACGGUGAAUACGUUCCCGGGUCUUGUACACACCGCCCGUCACACCAUGGGAGCGGGUUCCGCCAGAAGUAGGUAGCCUAACCGCAAGGAGGGCGCUU